rnacentral:rRNA from 1 species
UUCGAGGGAGUUUUGAGUUUAUUGCUGCUUUAUGGUGAUUUUCUCGCAAUUUCCUUGAAUCAUUAUACGCUGUUAACCAAUGAUGAACGUGCUUUUGUGCCGUAAGGCCAUUAAUAUAAUACAACUUUUAACAACGGAUCUCUUGGCUCUGGCAUCGAUGAAGAACGCAGCGAAAUGCGAUAAGUAAUGUGAAUUGCAGAAUUCAGUGAAUCAUCGAAUCUUUGAACGCACCUUGCGCUCCCUGGUAUUCCGGGGAGCACACCUGUUCGAGUGUCGUGAAAUUUCUCAAGCUUGGAUGGCUUUUUUCUGUCCUUGGCCUUGGUUGUUGGGCUUUGCCGUGUCCUUCAAUGGGGNCCGCCGGCCUUAAAAGCAUUAGCUAAUCCUCGUGUGGCACUGGUUCUACUCAGCGUGAUAAUAAGUCUGAUCGCUGAGGACAUCUUUUGGGAUGGCCAGUUCUCAUUUGGGGUUGCUUCCAACUUGGUUUC